AGGCAGCAGUGAGGAAUAUUGCGCAAUGGGGGAAACCCUGACGCAGUGACGCCGCGUGAGCGAUGAAGGCUUUCGAGUCGUAAAGCUCUGUUAGGUGGAAAGAAACAUUCCAGUGCCAAUACCACUGGAAUUUGACGGUACCACCAGAGGAAGCACCGGCUAACUCCGUGCCAGCAGCCGCGGUAAUACGGAGGGUGCAAGCGUUGUUCGGAUUUACUGGGCGUAAAGGGCGUGUAGGCGGCUAGGCAAGUCAGGUGUGAAAUCCCUUGGCUCAACCAAGGAAGUGCAUUUGAAACUGCUUAGCUAGAGUACAGGAGGGGAAAGUGGAAUUCCCAGUGUAGAGGUGAAAUUCAUAGAUAUUGGGAGGAACACCAGUAGCGAAGGCGGCUUUCUGGCCUGAUACUGACGCUGAGACGCGAAAGCGUGGGGAGCAAACAGGAUUAGAUACCCUGGUAGUCCACGCCGUAAACGAUGUGCACUAGGUGUAGGAAGUGUUGACCCUUUCUGUGCCGAAGCUAACGCAUUAAGUGCACCGCCUGGGGAGUACGGUCGCAAGGCUAAAACUCAAAUGAAUUGACGG
rnacentral:rRNA from 1 species